CGGGCAGGAGGCGUGAGCUGGGCCCCCGCGGGGCUGGGGGGUGGGGUGGGAAGCCCGGUCCGCGGGCGCCCAGCCGCCGGCAGCGGUUCUGGGACUCAGUCGGGGGGCCCGGCCCCGGCAGAGUAACAGCCCCGCGCUCCUUCCUUGAGGAAGCCGAGCUCGAAACGCAGAAUCUCCGAGUCGGAGAAGGUUCAACCCGGGGGACUGGUAGCCGUACGGGACUGCUGAACCCGACACUCGCACAAUCCGAGGAUGACGGCAUUUGGGACCCCAGACUACUCAGUCAGGACCCCGCUGGCCUCAGGUUCCGCGGUUCCGGGCCUGGCUCGCCCCUCCCGGGCCCGAGGGAUUAACCCUUACGCACCCUGCUCGCGCGCGGGGCUCCCUGCCCGGCUUGCGCAGACCCGCCCGCGCGUGGCUCGGAGACCCUUCCUGCCCAGCCCGGCGCAGCGGGGCAGCCCUCCGUGCACCGGCCGGGAGGACCCACCCGCUGCCGUUAACCCUACGGGCGCCGGCGGACGGCCCGGACCGCAAGCGGCCGGGGCGGGAUCGCACUUCCUGCGCGGAGCGAGGGGCGCGGGGCGGGAUCUCCUCCGCCCGGGGGAGGCCGCUCCGGGGGCUUCCCCCAGGCUUUCCGAGCCAUGACGCGCCUUAAGGGGGCCGGGGGGCCGAACCCAGGGACCACGCGACACACCUGGGAAGACUGAUGACUGCCCAUUCCGGCCCCUCGCGCCGGGCGCCGGCGCCGCGUCCGCCGGGAGCGCGCUCCGCUCGGGUCCGGGCCCCACACCGCCUCCCCCGCCGCCCCUCCGGGUGAGAGCGCAGCCCCGCCGCUGGGAGGCCUGGCCCGGGGGCCUCGGCCGCCAGCUCCCCGGGCGCUCGGGCAGCCCUCCGGGACUCCGCCGGCCUGUUUCCUUACCUGCGAGCUGGGGCUGGGGGCGGGGUAAGCGGACGAGGCGCUCUGUGCCCUUGAGCCCCGGCGGGCUGCGGAGGGGCUGGGUGGGGGAAGGAAUUUCAGGAGAAAGGAUCCCCAAGGGGCCGGGAUUGGCUGCCAGACAUAAUCUCCAACACUCUGAAAGUUGUCGGAGCCCACGAGCCCGGACCCCUCUAUAUACCCUCCUCCGCGAUACGAAGAGCUGCCUCUCCCCGGCCCACCCUUCCCCCAAAGACCCGGAUGUACCCCAGGCCCACCUUUCCCAGGUCCCCAUCACCGCGCGCAGCACCCUAGAUCCCAGCAUACAGCAGGCGCUCAAUAAACACAUGCGACGCAUGCCUGGAUCACCGUGGCACGCCUUUUCCUGACGAUUGCUUUCUGGCUACAAGGAAAGCAAAGCUCAAAGAGAUGCGCCCAGCCAGGCCUGGAUCCCAUUCCUAGAGAGAAGCCUCUCCCACCCAAAGGCUGGGGCAC